GGAUCAACUUGAUCUCCAAUGCCAACCUUUGACCUGUGAACAUGUAGCUAAUGGAUGCGGUGAUAUUGGUUCAAGUCACAUUUAGAAAUGUGCCCACCAAGGUAGUUGGGUUUCUAAUAGUCUCAGUAGAGGGAGGACAACAUAUGAGGGUCGAUGUUCAUUUGGGUUCUGGAAACACUGAGAUGUUAAAGGGUCUGUUCACCUGCCAUGGUUGUUUGAAGGCACUGAUUUGAAUUACGAGUGCUCUAAUCAGCAGAACUAGAGAUGCAAACAAUUAUUGAUUCUAGGAUUAACGAAUUUGGUGGAUCAUGAACGGCUAAUUUAGUUCACGCUUGAUUUUCUGUCUACUGUUAGGUCGUUGCAGUUUGUGUUUGACUUGAUUUUAUAUUCCCUUGACAAAAACCUAGUUG
rnacentral:misc_RNA from 1 species